rnacentral:rRNA from 1 species
UACGUAGGUGACGAGCGUUAUCCGGAUUUACUGGGCGUAAAGGGCCAGUAGGCGGCCAACUAAGUCCGACGUGAAAUCCCCAGGCUCAACUUGGGAACUGCGUCGGAUACUGGAUGGCUUGAAUUCGGGAGAGGGAUGCAGAAUUCCAGGUGUAGCGGUGAAAUGCGUAGAUAUCUGGAGGAAUACCGGUGGCGAAGGCGGCAUCCUGGACCGACAUUGACGCUGAACGGCGAAAGCUAGGGGAGCAAACGGG